rnacentral:hammerhead_ribozyme from 1 species
AUCCAGCUGACGAGUCCCAAAUAGAACAAUCUGUGCAUCCUGGAU